AUUGAACGCUGGCGGCAUGCCUUACACAUGCAAGUCGAACGGCAGCACGGGAGCAAUCCUGGUGGCGAGUGGCGAACGGGUGAGUAAUAUAUCGGAACGUGCCCAGUCGUGGGGGAUCACGCAGCGAAAGCUGUGCUAAUACCGCAUACGAUCUACGGAUGAAAGCGGGGGAUCGCAAGACCUCGCGCGAUUGGAGCGGCCGAUAUCAGAUUAGCUAGUUGGUGGGGUAAAGGCCCACCAAGGCGACGAUCUGUAGCUGGUCUGAGAGGACGACCAGCCACACUGGAACUGAGACACGGUCCAGACUCCUACGGGAGGCAGCAGUGGGGAAUUUUGGACAAUGGGCGCAAGCCUGAUCCAGCAAUGCCGCGUGCAGGAUGAAGGCCUUCGGGUUGUAAACUGCUUUUGUACGGAACGAAACGGCCCUUUCUAAUACAGGGGGCUAAUGACGGUACCGUAAGAAUAAGCACCGGCUAACUACGUGCCAGCCGCCGCCGUAAAAC
rnacentral:rRNA from 1 species